rnacentral:rRNA from 1 species
ACGGGGGGUGCAAGCGUUAAUCGGAAUUACUGGGCGUAAAGGGUAUGUAGGUGGUUAAGUAAGUUAGAUGUGAAAUCCCUGAGCUCAACCUGGGAAGGGCAUAUAAAACUGCUAAACUAGAGUAUGGGAGAGGGUAGUGGAAUUUCAGGUGUAGCGGUGAAAUGCAUAGAGAUCGGAAGGAACACCAGUUGCGAAGGCGAUCACCUGGCCCAAUACUCACACUGAGGCGCGAAAGUGUUGGGAGCAAACAG